rnacentral:tRNA from 1 species
UCUCAAUUGGUCUAGUGGUGAGGAUACCUGCUUGUCAUUAGUUGAUACGCGAUAGUGGUAACACAAUCUGCAAUACGCAGGUGGCCGGGGUUCGAUUCCCCGAUCGAGAG